GACGAACGCUGGCGGCGUGCUUAACACAUGCAAGUCGAGCGGUAAGGCCCUUUCGGGGGUACACGAGCGGCGAACGGGUGAGUAACACGUGGGUGACCUGCCCUUAGCUCUGGGAUAAGCCUGGGAAACUGGGUCUAAUACCGGAUAUGACCUCAUGACGCAUGUUGUGGGGUGGAAAGCCUUGUGCGGCUAGGGGAUGGGCCCGCGGCCUAUCAGCUUGUUGGUGGGGUGAUGGCCACCAAGGCGACGACGGGUAGCCGGCCUGAGAGGGCGACCGGCCACACUGGGACUGAGACACGGCCCAGACUCCUACGGGAGGCAGCAGUGGGGAAUCUUGCGCAAUGGGCGAAAGGCUGACGCAGCGACGCCGCGUGGGGAUGAAGGCC
rnacentral:rRNA from 1 species